UACAAACUCGUAAUUAGUUUAGCUGUUAGUGCUCUUUGCUAAAUCUCUAAAUACCAGUUUUCAUCACUGAUGGUCUCUAACAUAAGCUGAAAUUCUAACCUCUUCACUGUGUGAAAGGUGUCACUUUUCAGAUUGGGCUCUCAUUCAAAGAGUGUGACUACAAAGCAAUACCCUGUCCUUAUGUGUAAGAUAUGUUAACUAUGUUCCCUUUUUUCAUGAAGAGGAUAAUGCAGUGAUUAAUACUCCCUUACCUAGGAGAGCGAUGGGAUCCUGGACCAACAAGUACCUGAAUGUGUUGUCAUCACAUCCUGCCACUGCAUGUCACUGUGCUGAAGAGUGGACAGCCCUCAGCUUUAAUUCCUCAUGUGCAUUUCAGCCCAUCAAAUUCUGGCCUGAAGUUAUCCCUUGUUAUGAAUCUACUGCAACAACCAAUUGGAAUGUUCCAGCUCUUUCUCCACCUGCAGUGCCAUUGGUAUCAAGGCUUCCUUUCCAUUGCUAGAACUCUGUUUUAGCACAGAGUUGCACAAGAUCAGCUUGGUAGCCAAGAAAUUCUUCAGAUGAUGCCUUCCAGAAACACAUCUAAAACUGGACUUUAAUGUUGCUGACUGUCCAGUAUAUGUCCUAUAACUUUUCUUCCACAACACCUGUUAAUUACCAAUGCUGUAAGUUGCUCUACAGGAUCAAAAGGACAAAUGGAUACACAAAUUUCUGAGCCACCUAGCAUCAAGGCCGUGUCCAAUGUUAUAACAUCAGAGAAUAUUACCCACACCUAGGACCAUGUUAAAUGAGGCUGAUGCCAUAUUUGGAAUCUGUGGGAAUUCAAGAAGAGAUAUCACAAGGUAACUUUAGCUCCUACUGCAGUGCCAUAGGUUACUGUGAGUUAUCCAAAUAUUAGUGUUUUGAUUAGUGGAGCAAAAAUGACAUAACAAGAGUUGGUUAUUUUAUUCUUAGUUGUAUUUGAAGAGCUUGUAUUUGCAAACACUUGUAUCUAUAUAGUGGAACCUUAACUUGUUUAAGUUGUUUCCCUGGUUUUGCAGUUUUGGGAUGUUAUGCUACACACUGCUCAACCAUCCAAUUAUCCCAGACUUAUUACUUAAAAUUUCUUAUACGUUUAAAUUUAACUAGAUUUAGGCUUGAUUGUUAACGCUGCUGUUACAUGGUGAUUUAUGGGUAAAUAGGGUGACCAGACAUCCCGAUAAAAUCAGGACCGUCCCGAUAUUUGGGGUUUGUCCCGCAUCCCGAUAUCAGCUGGCAGCGCUGGUUUUUUUUUGCUCCGCCGGCGAGACUGACUUGGCUUUUUUUUUUUUUGCACCCCCUCCUCCCCAUGUGUCCCGAUAUUUUCUUUCCCUCAUCUGGUCACCCUAUGGGUAAACAACAAGAUUCUGUCCCUUAUCUGAGGAACGUAUACUGUAGGUUAAAGCAUAGCAUAAAAAGAUGACAAACCAUAGCAGGAAAAGCUAAGGAAGAUGAGCAAGACAAUGGGGCUCUUUGCACUGCAC
rnacentral:lncRNA from 1 species